rnacentral:rRNA from 1 species
UACGGAGGGUGCGAGCGUUAAUCGGAAUUACUGGGCGUAAAGGGUGCGUAGGUGGUGGGAUAAGUUAUCUGUGAAAUUCCUGGGCUCAACCUGGGGUGGUCAGAUAAGACUGUUUUACUCGAGUAUGGGAGAGGGUAGUGGAAUUUCCGGUGUAGCGGUGAAAUGCGUAGAGAUCGGAAGGAACACCAGUGGCGAAGGCGGCUACCUGGCCUAAUACUGACACUGAAGCACGAAAGCGUGGGGAGCAAACAGG